rnacentral:rRNA from 1 species
GUAGGGUCCAAGCGUUAAUCGGAAUUACUGGGCGUAAAGCGUGCGCAGGCGGUUGUGCAAGACCGAUGUGAAAUCCCCGGGCUUAACCUGGGAAUUGCAUUGGUGACUGCACGGCUAGAGUGUGUCAGAGGGGGGUAGAAUUCCACGUGUAGCAGUGAAAUGCGUAGAGAUGUGGAGGAAUACCGAUGGCGAAGGCAGCCCCCUGGGAUAACACUGACGCUCAUGCACGAAAGCGUGGGGGGAGCAAACAGGAUUAGAUACCCUGGUAGUCCACGCCCUAAACGAUGUCAACUAGUCGUUGGGGAUUCAUUUCCUUAGUAACGUAGCUAACGCGUGAAGUUGACCGCCUGGGGAUACGGUCGCAAGAUUA